UUGCAGUGAUGGUUCUUGAAUUUCUUCACCUGAAUUGUUUAUUGUAGAAAACAUACUUAUUCUGAGCUAA